AGCCCUUUCUAAGUGCUUUACAAAUAUUAACUCGUUUCAUGCCCACGACAAGCCUGUGCUGUGGGUGUUAUUCUCCCAUUUUAUAGCAGAGAAAACUGAGGCACAGCGACGCUAAGCAAGCUGCCCAAGGUCACACAGCCAGCUGGGGGAUGGGAUGGGCUGUCCCACACCCUGGGCUGUCCCGUACCACACUUGUCUCUAAGCCCUAGGCGGGGAGGCGUCCCUGUACUGGCGGGGUUGUGACUGUCGGUUCUUGUCUGUGCUCCCCAGUGGGAUGCAAGCUCUAGGAGCUGCGACUCUGGAGCAAAGAGAGGCACUGGAUGAAAGUUGCAGAGUGAAGGCAGGCAUGGGGCUCAGGACAGCUGCAUCCCUUCCGACCGCCAGAGCCCUCCCGCCGCACUCUGCUCGAGGAGCUGUAUUCCUGGCCAGGGUCUCCAGCCCCAGCAAACGAGAUCCUCCCGUUGACGCUGGACCAGGAGGAAACCUGGGCCUCGACGGUCGGACGGAGCAGAAUCCGCUCGUGGCGGGGCACGCGCGCCACCUGGCGGCCGAGUUCCGCCAACACACCGCCACCCGGAGACCAGAAAGACCUGAGUGAGCUGCAACCGCCUGCUGUUUUCCUGUAAUGUACAAUGUAAAUUACUGACAAUGCAAAGCUCAGGCCUAAAACUGCAAGUCUUCAUGCACAAGGCUCGGACAAAUUUCAGCAUUGUCCCAAGUAAAGAUGUUUUGGAAAAACCUGCCUGGGAGAAGCUCUAAGGAGUGGUCAGCCCCCACAUGGGAUUUCAGCCCCAGUUCAUAACACUUGGGGCCCAAAGUCUCAAGAUUUUAAUGACCACCUAGGUUGUGGCUGAGAAAAUGGCCGCCCAUCUAGAGACUACAUUUCCCAGGCUCCCUUGCAGCAUAAUGUCAAGAUCGAUCCAUGUUGCAGCGCUGUCAGAAUUUACUUCCUCUUCAAGACUGAGCUAUAUUCCUCUACACGUCUAUACUCAGCCUCUUGCAGCCACAAGUGCCCAUGUAACAUAGCUCUAGACAAUCAGAUGCAGGCAGAAAUCUACCAGGCUAAGAAAGUUUUGACCUCCUGCCUCAAAUUCAUACACGAUGCCUGGAGCUGUGGCCUCCAUCUUGUGACUAUGAGAAAAAACCAGAGACUCAAGACUUCAGCCAACAGCAGUCUCUGAACCUCUGAACAAAGCCAGCAGCCCCCUCGCCGUUCCCUCUAGAUUUUGAGAAAAAUUAACCUCUCAUGUGUAUGCUCACGACCACCUCUACUGUUCAUUGCAGCCCAAAGCAUUUGUAACUGAUACAGUGGGUCAGGUUACGGAUCUGUCUCCCCGGCCAGAACGUAGGUCCCAUGGUGGCAGAGAACGUGACCUUGCUCACACUGUGUGCCCUUCCCAUCCCAACUCCUGGCUGGUGGAGACCGCACAGAUGGCAUACAUGCUUGAAGUCCUUCAUCCAAAAUCUAACAGUACCAUCCUCUGUGUUCACCGAAAGAACCACACAAAGGGCUUAAAAUGGCACUUGACUGGGGCGCCUGGGUGGCACAGCAGUUAAGCAUCUGCCUUUGGCUCAGGGUGUGAU